CCUACGGGAGGCAGCAGUGGGGAAUAUUGCACAAUGGGGGAAACCCUGAUGCAGCGACGCCGCGUGAGUGAAGAAGUAAUUCGUUAUGUAAAGCUCUAUCAGCAGGGAAGAAAAUGACGGUACCUGAGUAAGAAUCCCCGGCUAACUACGUGCCAGCAGCCGCGGUACUACGUAGGGGGCAGGCGUUAUCCGGAUUUACUGGGUGUAAAGGGAGCGUAGACGGCAGUGCAAGUCUGUAGUGAAAGGCGGGGGCUCAACCCCCGGACUGCUCUGGAAACUGUACGGCUGGAGUGCAGGAGAGGUAAGUGGAAUUCCUAGUGUAGCGGUGAAAUGCGUAGAUAUUAGGAGGAACACCAGUGGCGAAGGCGGCUUACUGGACUGUAACUGACGUUGAGGCUCGAAAGCGUGGGGAGCAAACAGGAUUAGAUACCCGGGUAGUC
rnacentral:rRNA from 1 species